rnacentral:rRNA from 1 species
GGCUGCAUGGUUGUCGUCAGCUCGUGCCGUGAGGUGUCGGCUUAACGUGCCAUAACGAGCGCAACCCUUAUCGUUAGUUGCCAGCGGGUGAUGCCGGGAACUCUAGCGAGACUGCCACCGUAAGGUGUGAGGAAGGUGGGGAUGACGUCAAAUCAGCACGGCCCUUACGUCCGGGGCGACACACGUGUUACAAUGGGGGGUACAGAGGGUUGCUACACAGCGAUGUGAUGCUAAUCUCUAUAAAGUCUCUCUCAGUUCGGAUCGGAGUCUGCAACUCGACUCCGUGAAGCUGGAUUCGCUAGUAAUCGCGCAUCAGCCAUGGCGCGGUGAAUACGUUCCCGGGCCUU